UCAUAGCUUUGCCUAUUUAAGUCAAUCGCUCCGCAAUUUUGUUGGGUUUCAUCCUAAUUGAAGAGGAAGAUCCAAAGUUUAUGUCAUAGUUAAAUUUCGCCCUAAAAGGCUCUAUGAAAGAAAUCUGGUACCAAAGACGAUUUUUCGCAUACAAGAUAAAAGUGGAAGAUCUUAUGUGGGAGACUUUAUCGAGAAAAACAUUAGUUCUGAUCAAAAGGGAUAACAAAGACUUGCCUAAUCCUAUGAGUUCAAGAUCCAAUUAAAAAAACCCCAAAAAAAAAUACAAAAAAACCAAAAAAGGAAAAAAAUCAAAAUCAAAAUUAAAAAAUGAAAAUGACAAAAAGAAAAGGAAAAAUGAGAGGCCAAAGUGAAAACCCGCGAAGGGCGCCUUGAGACCAAAGGGGAUUUGAGUUGAAAACCUGAAAAGGGCGGCUCAAAUAUUGAUCAGAAUGGGGCAUGAGGUGAUCAGAGCUGUUCAAAUUUUGAUCAGAUUGGGG
rnacentral:lncRNA from 1 species